rnacentral:lncRNA from 1 species
GUAAAAAGCGAGGACGUGACCGUUUUGGAAGCAUUGUUCUUUUCACUGUUAGUGAGGAGCGGUCAAGGAUGCGUAUUAAGAAGAUAACUAGAAGUGGCCGCAUGAUGUACCUCUCACCAAUGAGAUGCCUGUCAAGGGUAUACGUGGGUCUUUUGAGUAAGUUAUUGUUUUCAUUGCUAAAAGAGAGACAGAUACAGGUAGAUAUAUACAGAGAGAGAGCCAGAAACACACACACAUGCAUACACACACCUACCUCUCUCAUUAUUCCUUUCCCCCUUUCACUUGCCUGCCCUCUCUGCACAGAAAGUUCUGGCCCUAACCUUGAAAAGAAUAUGACCCAGCUAGUCCUCUGAUCCUAGUAGACUGUGGGAUAUCUGGCGUAAACUAUGACUAAACCUAUAGCCUGGCACCAAAUGCAGCCAAGGUUAGCUUAAGUUAGUCAACCCCAGCUUGACCAAAGAAGUGAAAAAUAAAUGCUUAUUUGCUGUAUGCCACUGAUAUUUCUAUGGUUAUUGAUUAUGCCACAUUAUUCUAGCAAUAGUUGAUUAAGAAGCUAGAAUCAAAUCAUGGUAUUAAUUAGGAGAAUAUAAUAAUGUGGCAGUAACCUGAUACAAAUUUCUCAUUCUGAGAUUUUUUCCCCUUAUUUAUGUAUUUUUUUUUUAUAUCCUGUGCUUGGUACAACUUGUUUGCAAGCCAAUUGAUAACAAGUAAAUGAACAAGUAUAUUAAAAUUAAGAGAAAAAUUCAUAAACAACUAAUUUUACUUAGUUUGAAAGAUUGUAUUUCACAUAGAUAUUUGUGCUCAAAAUUGUAACUUUCUAUUGCACAAACAAAACACAGUAUCUUCUCCUAGGAAAAUUUUUGUUCAUUCCCAUGACAGAUUUCAAGAUGUCAUUAUAUAAUGAUGUUUUACAAACAAUAUGGUAUUCUAAAAAGAGCACAGUAACUUCCAGGUAUGUUGCCUGCUUAAGAUCACUUUUGUUGAGAAUUGAGUAUCUCUGAAAAAUCUGAUUUUGUUUUUGUUGUUGUUGUUUAGUUAGUUGGUUGCUAUAUCAGGAGAGAUCUGUACUUAAAAAGUUUAUCCUGGCAGUAAUAUAGCCAUUUUAAGUGAAGGUAGAAAGUGCUGGGCACCAAGCAGGUUAGUAUAUAGUCCUAGGGCUAUAGAGGCCUGUAGGAUUGGAUUAAUGGGAAAAAAGUUAGGGAAAUGGACAGGAUAUGACAAUAUCUGGAUGCAGGUAGUAAGGGAAAGGAAAGAGAUUCUUAAAUUUCAGUGUACAUGAAAAUCACUCUGAGAGCUUGUUAAAAAUGCAUAUAUAGUCCAUGUCUCCACUUCCAAAAAUUCUGUCCAGAAUUUCUAAAAUAGUGAUCUAGAAUCUCCAAUUUUAACAAAUUCCCUUUCUUAUUCUGUUUUGGGUAAUUGAGAGCUGCAUUUUGAGAAACAUUAGAACAUAGCUUUCCUAAUCAUUUGGAAACAAUAGUUUGAUUCUAAGAUUUCAGAAUCAUUUAGCUCUUUGCAUGUCCCAGUUAUUGCCAAGGACUGCUGCAGAUGGGAAUUUGGGGUAACAAAUGAUACCAAGGUUUUAUGCCUGCACAUCUGGGAGAAUGAUAAUGCCAUUAAUCAAGAUGAAGAACAUGACAAAAUCAGAUUUUGGAAGGAAGGAAAGAUAAUGCACAUUUUCUUUUUUGUCAUUCCUUUUUUUUUUUUUGACAAGUUGAAUGUUGGACUUUUUUGGGAGGAGGCAUUAAAUACUAACUCUAUUCUAUUUUUUGGGAGAGGCAUUAAAUACUAACUCUAUUCCAUUUAUAAUGUGGAAUGAAGUUCUGAGUAAGGAAGAUGGGAAAUCAAAAGGGCAUUUUAUUACUGAUAAAUGCCAUUUGGAAGCUGACACUAGGGUGUACCACAAAUGGGCUUCUUUACACUGAAACUCAACAUUAAGAUGCCUAAUCCUUGCAGUUCUGCCAGCCAGAAGCAACUGCCUUACCCUGCUCCCUGAAAGCAGCUAAGAGACAAACUAUCCUGUCCACUCUACCUAAAACAGCAGUUUACAAAAUUUGUAGUAUAGAUCUUGUAUGUUUCAUUUAUAACACACACUUAAGAUUCCAAAAUUAGUGUGAUUAUUUUUACCACUUGAACCUAAGUUCUAUGAAGCAAGGGUCAAUCUCAUUUAUUCACUACUCAAUACUCAGAAUUUAGCACAGUGCUAAAAAAGAGUAUAUCAAAAAAGACAAAGGUGGGCAUUACAUGAUGGUGAAGAGUUUAACAGGAAGAGCUAACUAUGCUAAAUAUAUAAGCACCCAAUACAGGAGGAGCUAGAUUCACAAAGCAAGUUCUUAGAGACCUACAUAGAGACUUAGAAUCCCACACAAUAGUAGUGGGAGAAUUUAACACCCCAUUGACAAUAUUAGACAGAUCAUCAAGACGUAAAAUUAACAAAGAUAUUAAGGACCUGAACUCAGCUCUGAAUCAAGUGGACCUGAUAGAUAUCUACAGAGUUCUCCAUCCCAAAACAACAGAGCAUAACAUUCUUCUCAUUGCCACAUGACACUUACUCUAAAAUUGAUCAAAUAAUCAGAAGUAAAACACUCCUCAGCAAAUGCAAAGGAACUUAAAUCAUAACAGUCUAUCAGACCACAGUGCAUUCAAGUUAGAACUCAAGAUUAAGAAAUUCGCUCAAAACCACACAACUACAUGGAAAUUAAACAAACUGCUCCUGAAUGACUCUUGGGGAAAUAGUGAAAUUAAAGCUACAAUCAAGAAGUUAUUUGAAACUAAAGAGAACAAAGAGACAACAUACCAGAAUCUCUGGGACUCAGCUAAAGCAGUGUUAAGAGGGAACUUCAUAGCACUAAAUGAACACAUCAGAAAGCUAGAAAGAUCUCAAGUUAACAACCUAACAUCUCAACUAAAAGUACUAGGAGCCAGGAGCAAACAAAUCCUAAAGCUAGCAGAAGACAAGAAAUGACCAAGAUUAGAGCUGAACUGAAGGAGAUAGAGACACAAAAUGCUCUUAAACAAAUCAAUGAAUCCAGGAACUAGUUUUCUGAAGAAAGUAAUAAAAUAGACUGCUGACUAGACUAAUAAAGAAGAAAAGAGAGAAGUAUCAAAAAAACACAACCAGAAAUGAUAAGGGGGUAUUACUACUGACCCCACAGAAAUACAACCAUCAGAGAAUACUAUAAACACGUCUAUGCACAUAAACUAGAAAAUCUCAUAGAAAUGGAUAAAUUUCUAGACACAUACACCCUCCCAAGACUGAACCAGGAAGAACUUGAAUCUCAGAAUAGACCAAUACUGCACAGCAAAAAGCUUAUCCACCACGAUCCAGUUGGCUUCACCUCUGGAAUGCAAGGUUGGUUCAACAUAUGCAAAUCAAUAAAUGUAAUUAAUCACAUAAAUAGAACUAAAAGCAAAAACCACAUGAUUAUCUCAAUAGAUGUAGAAAGGCCUUUAAUAAAAUUCAACAUCCCGUUAUGUUAAAAAUGCUCAAUAAACUAGAUAUUGAAGGAAGAUGCCUUGAAAUAAUAAUAGCCAUUUAUAACAAACCCACAGCCAAUAUCAUACCGAAUGGAUAAAAGCUGGAAGCAUUCCCCUCGAAAGCCAGCACAAGACAAGGAUGCCUUCUGUCACCACUCCUAUUUAACAGAGUAUUGGAAGUUCUGGCCAGGGCAAUUAGGCAGGAGAAAGAAAUAAAGGGUAUUCAAAUAGGAAGAGAGGAAGUCAAAUUACCUUUGUUUGAAGAUCACAUGAUUCUGUAUCUAGAAAGCUCUAUAGUCUCAGCGCCAAAGCUUCUUACACUGAUAAGCAACUUCAGAAAAGUCUCAGGAUACAAAAUCAAUGCAAAAAUUGUUAGCAUUUCUAUACACUAACAGCCAAAUCAGGAAUGAACUCCAUUCACAAUUGCCACAAAAAGAAUAAAAUACCUAAGAAUACAGCUAACAAGGGAAGGGAAGGACUUCUUCAAGGAGAAACAAAACCACUGCUCAAAUCAGGGAGGACACAAACAAAUGGAAAAAUAUCCCAUGCUUAUGGAUAAGAAGAAUCAAUAUUGCAAAAAUGGCCAUACUGCCAAAAGUAAUGUAUAGAUUCAAUACUAAUUCUAUUAAACUACCACUGACAUUCUUCACAGAAUGUAAAAAAAAAAAAAACUAUUUUAAAAUUCAUAUGGAAUGAAAAGGAACCUGAAUAGCCAAAACAAUCCUAAGCAAAAAGAACAAAGCUGGAUGCAUCACACUGCCCAACUUCAAACUAUACUACAAGGCUACAGUAACCAAAUCAGAGUAGUACUGGUAUAAAAACAGAUGCAUAGAGCAAUGGAACAGAAUAGAGAACUCAGAAAUAAGGUCACAUACCUAUAACCAUUUGAUCUUUGGCAAACCUGACAAAAACAAGCAAUGGGGAAAAAAUGUCCUAUUUAAUAAAUGGUGCUGGGAGAAGUGGCUAGCCAUAUGCAGACAAUUGAAACUGGACCCCUUCCUUACACCAUGUACAAAAAUUAACUCAAGAUUGAUUAAAGACUUAAAUGUAAAACAAUACUAUGCAAACCUGAGAAGAAAAUCUAGGCAGUACCAGUAAGGACAAAGGCACGGGCAAACAUUUCAUGAUGAAAAUGCCAAAAGCAAUUGCAACCAAAGCAAAAAUUGAGAAAUGAGAUCUAAUUAAGCUAAAGAGCUUCUGCACAGCAAAAGAAACUAUCAUCAGAGUGAACAGACAGCCUAUAGAAUGGGAGAAAAUUUUUGCAAUCUGUCCAUCUGACAAAGGUCUAAUACACAGAGUCUGCAAGGAACUUAAGUUUACAAGAAAAAAUAACCCCAUUAAAAAGUGGACAAAGGACAUAAACAGACUCUCAUAAGACAUACCUGUGGCCAACAGUCAUAUAAAAAAAGCUCAACAUCACUGAUCAUCAGAGAAAUGCAAAUCAAAACCACAAUGAGAUACCAACUCAUGCCAGUAAAAAUGGCUGUUACUAAAAAGUCAAAAAAACAUGCCAAUGAGGUUGCAGAGUAUUGGAAGUUCUGGACAGGGCAAUCAGGCAAGAGAAAGAAAGGGUAUUCUUUUAUUUCUGUGUAAAAGGAACAGUGUAAAAGCAAUACUUUUACACUGUUUGUGGGAGUGUAAAUUAGUUCAACCAUUGUGGAAGACAGUAUUAUGAUUCCUCAGAGACCUACAGGCAGAAAUAUCAUUUGACUCAGCAUUCCCAUUACUGGGUAUAUACUCAAAAGAAUAUAAAUCAUUCUUAUUGUAAGGAUACAUGCAUGUGUGUGUUCAUUGCAGGACUAUUCACAAUAGCAAAGAAAUGGAAUCAUCCUAAAUGCCCACCAAUGAUAGACUGGAUAAAGAAAAUACGGUACAUAUAUACCAUGGAAUAGUAUGCAGCCAUAACAAGAAAACAUAUCAUGUCCUUUGCAGGGACACGGAUGGAGCUGGACGACAUCAUCCUUAGCAAACUAGUGCAGGAACAGAAAAGGAAACACCACAUGUUCUCACUUAUAAGUGGGAGCUGAAUGAUGAGAACACGCGGACACAUGGGGGGAAUAACACAUACUGGGGCCUGUGGGAGGGGCGGUGUUGUGGGGAGGAAGAGCAUCAGGAAGAAUAGCUAAUGGAUGCUGGGCUUAAUAUCUAGGUGAUGGGAUGAUUUGUGCAGCAAACCACCAUGGCAUACGUUUACCUCUAACAAAUCUGCACUCCUGCACAUGUACCCCUGAACUUAAAAGUUCAAGAAAAAAAAGAUAAAGAAAUUAAAGGAACAUUCAAACAACAACAAAAACAACAGCAAAAAGAGUAGUAGUGAAUAACCCCUUCUGUUUUAUCAAGACAGAAAUCUUUCCAAAGACACAGUUAAGCCCAGACCUCAGGAGAUUUUUGGAAAUUGACCAAAAUAAACUUACCUUUUGAUGAGCAUAAAUUAAUAUUUCUUGUAUUCUGCUAAUGAAAUAAUAAUACAAUCAUAUAUUUGAUAUUCCCAAUGAAUGUAUAAGCACAUUUAAAUCAUUUUCUGAAUAUUAUUUUAUAUUGAAUUACUUUUAUUCUGUGACC